rnacentral:rRNA from 1 species
CCCUAGUACGGCGAGUGAAGCGGGAAGAGCUCAAAUUUGAAAGCUGGUACCUUCGGUGCCCGCGUUGUAAUCUCGAGACGCGUUUUCCGCGCGGCGCUAUGGACAAGUUCCUUGGAACAGGACAUCGUAGAGGGAGAAAAUCCCGUACUUGCCAUGGAUGCACCGUGCUUUGUGAUACGUGCUCAAAGAGUCGAGUUGUUUGGGAUUGCAGCUCAAAAUGGGUGGUAGACUCCAUCUAAAGCUAAAUAUCGGGGAGAGACCGAUAGCGAACAAGUACCGUGAGGGAAAGAUGAAAAGCACUUUGGAAAGAGAGUUAAAAGUACGUGAAAUUGUCGAAAGGGAAGCGCUUGAAGUCAGCCAUGCCGCUCAGGACUCAGCCUGGCUUUUGCUUGGUGUAUUUCCUGGGUAGCAAGUCAGCAUUGGUUUGGACCGUCGGAGAAGCAUGGCAGGAAUGUGACGCCCUCGGGCGUGUUAUAGCCUGCCAUUGGAUACGCCGGUCUAGACCAAGGAACGCAGUGCGCCUUA